CCUACGGGAGACAGCAGUGAGGAAUAUUGGUCAAUGGACGCAAGUCUGAACCAGCCAUGCCGCGUGAAGGAAGACGGCUCUAUGAGUUGUAAACUGCAUUUGUACGAGGGUAAAUCACGAUACGUGAAUCGGGUUGAAAGGAUCGUACGAAGAAGGAUCGGCUAACUCCGUGCCAGCAGCCGCGGUAAUACGGAGGUUUCAAGCGUUAUCCGGAUUUAUUGGGUUUAAAGGGUGCGUAGGCGGUUCGAUAAGUUAGAGGUGAAAUCCCGGGGCUCAACUCCGGCACUGCCUCUGAUACUGUCGGGCUAGAGUUUAGUUGCGGUAGGCGGACUUUCUGGUGUAGCGGUGAAAUGCAUA
rnacentral:rRNA from 1 species